GAUGAAGAACGCAGCGAAAUGCGAUAAGUAAUGUGAAUUGCAGAAUUCAGUGAAUCAUCGAAUCUUUGAACGCACAUUGCGCCCCCCAGUAUUCUGGCGGGCAUGCCUGUUCGAGCGUCAUUUCAACCAUCAAGCCCCAGGCUUGUGUUGGAGCCCUGCGGCUGCCGCAGCCUCCCAAAACCAGUGGCGGGCUCGCUAUCACACCGAGUGCAGUAGUUUACUCUUCGCUCAGGGCGUGUGGCGGGUGCUAGCCGUGAAACCCCCAACUUCUCAAGGUUGACCUCGGAUCAGGUAGGAAUACCCGCUGAACUUAAGCAUAUCAAUAAGCGGAGGA
rnacentral:misc_RNA from 1 species